rnacentral:ncRNA from 1 species
UUUUAAGCAAUGACGGGGAAGUUGGAUAACAAACGAACCCUCAGCGAGCCGGGGAAGGUGCAAGCCCGGCGGUUACGAGUUAUCGAGGUUCACCCCUGAGCUCCGUGCUGAACGUAAGUAGGCGCUGGCGGCCUCCACCGUUAUCUGGAUAGGGUAUCGAUAUAUAAAAAAUAUGUCCGUACCUGAAAUAAGCCGGAAUGCUAUUUGGCAUUCAACAAAGGUGGUACCGCGGGAGAUCUCUCUCGUCCUUUCU